GCGGGGUUGCAGCAGCUACAGAUCCAGGGGGAAUACAAGAAGAAGAAGAAUCUCAGGAUUUGGAGCCUGCAUCCAACCGUCCCCUACAAGCACUCCACCAUCCCAUCCCUGUGACCACCACCGAGUGAGGAGAAGGAGGAGAAGGCCUAACUAUAAGCUUUGUCAAAAAGGAAGGUCUUAAAUCUACUCUUAAAGUUGAAGAGGGUGUCUGCCUCCCAGACUGAAACUGGAAGAUGAUUCGACCAAAGAUGAGCUUGAUAACUGAAGGCUUUUGCUCCUAUUCUGUUUUUUAAGACUUAGAAGUGGAUGGUGCUUUGUUUCAAGCAAAGCAGGCCCACUACGUGCAAAGGCUGAGAGAGUUGAGGGCAACAAACCCAAUGCCACCAAUGGUGUCCAGGCUGGACCUUGACCUUAAGUUGGCCAACUGCAUUGAAGAAGGCUGGGUAUAAACCAACAUCAGUCAAGAAUAUGCUCAGCAACGCAAAGACCUUCCCCUCCCACGUAGAGCUCUUUCACUGAAAAGAAAACCUCCUGACAGCCACCCGGAUUGGCCAAAGACUGCAUCAAGAGACUGCAGUCGGACUUUCUGGGGGAAACUGGUCAGUGCCUCGGAGGAGCAAACAUUCAUCAUGGUGGCAACGAUGAGGACCCCUGCUCUGCUGAAGCAAAUGCAGGAAAAGGUACAAUUGGUCACCGUAGAGCUCCUGCAGGGUUACCUUAUCGUCACUGGACACUGGCCAGUGGUGUACUGCAGCCUGACAAAGAAAGAGGUCUGGGAGCGAGAAGAAAAGGAGGGCUUUUACAUGGUGUGGAUUGAGAGUAACAAGACCCAGGCCACAUAUGGGCACGCCCAGAUGGUAUUCAUCAGAGUGCUCGAUUGAGUCUACCCAAAAGUGCCUCUUGUUUUCCAUAAUAUGGAGGGAAAAGAGCACUGGAAGCUGGGCCUUCUGCUGAAUGCGGCGUGGAGCGACUCAGGACUCACCAGUACUGUGACAUUCAACCAGAUCCACUCCAGGGUGAGAAGUCAGGCACGGAGACAGCUGUCCAAGGAUGAGUUUGGUCAGGUUGUGGCUGCCAUGUGCCAUGACAUGGCGAUGGCAGAAAAAUAUGACUGUGCUCUUCCGUUCAUUAAGGAGGCCAUGGAGGUUUGCAGCCUGAGGAUGAAAGCCCUCAUGGAGGAAACGGUGGACCCGCAUCCUGCCUCCACCUCAGACUCUGGGGGUGAGGAACCAAUGUAUGCUGACAGCAUGUACUCUGUGUCUGAGCUCUCUGAAGGAGAGAAGGAGUUAAUGAAGAUGAGAAGGCGGCUUUUCGGAGCAGCAGGGAGGGAAGAAAAGCAAAGGAAAGAAGGACAAGGGUCAGAAAGAUGAGGAGACGUGCCCAAGCCUUUGAAUCAGACACCGACCCUGAGUGCCUGAUGAUCAUGACGGAUGCAGCGGAAAAGCAGGGAUCAGAAAUGGAAACAUUUUACUGAAUAGAAGAGGAGGGGCAGCGUGCACACGGACCAAGGGAGGGGAAAUUGUCUAGGUUCCCAUCCAAUUGAGGAUUUGUAGUUAAGCAUUGCUGAGUGGAGUGAUAUAUUUUAUAUCUGUAUAUAUUGUACUUAUGUAUAUUUUAAAUCUGUAGAUAUUUUAUAUCUGUAUACAUUAUCAAUUAUUUUAUAUCUGUAUAUAUUUAUUUAUUUUAUAUAUUUUGUUGUGCCUGUGCUGCAGGGGCUGUAAGAUAUGUGGAACUGGGACAUUAACACAUGCUGCCUCACCUCCUGGAGGUGAAAGGUCAAACUAUAUAGAAACUUAGUAAUCAUGUCAUCAGAACUUCUCAUCUUCUCUGCAGGUUAGAGGUUGUCAGUUGGGAGCAAAAACCUACAGAAAAUAGUAACAAUAUGAUGCCUGGAAAUGUGGACUACAGUCAGACAACUGAAAUUACAGUUAAAUGAAACGGCUGCAAAGAGUUUUUGUAAGAAAAGUUUUCAUUUCCAUCAAAUUGUAGGAGCAGUGACAGUACAAAAGGUCUUGCAUUGUAUAAAUAGAAAAAUAGAUUAAGAUUAUGAUAAAAUUUUAAAAAAUCUAAUAAAACGCUUGUCGCUCA